rnacentral:lncRNA from 1 species
CUGAGAAGCGUGAGUUUGUCAUUAAUUGUUUAUCAAGACAUAGGAUAGGUUGUGUGAAAAUAUUACUGAUGUUUAACGUUAAAAAUGGAGCAAAAGAUUAAUGCUAAACAACGUUUGACAUGUUUGAACGAACGUAAAUAGAUUAUUUACUAGGUUUUUUUAGCUUUUCGGCGUGAUUUUACAACCCCCCCACCACGUUUUGUGGGAGCAUAAUGAACGCUAACUACUUGGUGUUAUUUGGACAUAAAUUAUGAACUUUGUCAAAAGAAACCACAUUUGUUCCGGACCUGGGAUUCCUGGCAGUGCCUUCUGAUGGAGAUAAUCAAAGAACUUCUAGACAUCAGGACUGUGAUUACUCACCACGGACUAGCAGAGUCCUUUUUCUUCAUUCACUACUCUGAUGAGCCCGAGGAUAUAUACGGCUCCCUUCGGGAUCAGGCCCCGACCCCAGUGAUCUGCAUGAAGAGAAGGCGGAGAAAGAGAGGCCGGAGAAUGGGCUGCCUUCUGAGCAGUCGGAGGCGAUCGAAUAAACCCCCACUUCCCUCUAUUCUGCUAGCAAACAUGCAAUCUUUGGACAAUAAAAUGGACGAGUUAAUGGUGAAGAUUAAACUGCCAACGGGACAUUAAAAACUGUAACAUCUUACGCUUCACAGAGUCGUGGCUGAACGACGACAAUAUCAACAUACAGCUGGCUGGUUAUACGAUGUAACGGAAGGUGGCAUCUGGUAAGACAAGGGGCAGCGGUCUAUGUAUUUUUGUAAACAACAGCUGGGGCACGGUAUCUGAGGAUGAGUUUCUCAUGGUAAGCUGCAGACCACACUACCUACCGAGGGAGUUUUCAUCUAUAUUCUUUGUAGCUGUUUACAUACCACCACAGUCAGAGGCUGGCACUAAGAUAGCAUUGAAUGAGCUGUACUCCGCCAUAAGCAAACAAGAAAACGCUCACCCAGUGGCGGCGCUGCUAGUAGUCUUGGACUUUAAUGCAGGGAAACUUAAAUGUGCUCAAGAACACUAAGGUAACCUGCCUAAAUGACUACCGAACUGUAGCACUCACGUCUGUAGCCAUGAAGUGUAAAAAUUGUCAAAGACUCCAGCCACCCUAGUCAUAGACAGUUCUCUCUGCUACCACACGGCAAGCGGUACCGGAGCGCCAAGUGUAGGUCCAAGAGGAUUCUAAACAGCUUCUACCCCCAAACCAUAAGACUCCU